UACGUAGGGGGCAAGCGUUGUCCGGAUUUAUUGGGCGUAAAGAGCGUGUAGGCGGUUUGGUAGGUCCGCUGUGAAAACUCGAGGCUCAACCUCGGGACGCCGGUGGAAACCAUCAGGCUAGAGUCCGGAAGAGGAGAGUGGAAUUCCUGGUGUAGCGGUGAAAUGCGCAGAUAUCAGGAGGAACACCUAUGGCGAAGGCAGCUCGCUGGGACGGCACUGACGCUGAGACGCGAAAGCGUGGGGAGCAAACAGG
rnacentral:rRNA from 1 species